UAACCGCCAAUCAGUUAGUUUGGAAUAGAUUGAAUUAUGAAGUAAGAAAUACUGAUGAACCCACGACGUUUUGAAAUAGUGAAUACAAUGUUUCAAUGGAGAUAAUUCUGAUAAAAACUCCUGCCAAUGAGCAGGCAGCCCGUUUAUUGAGAGACAGGUUCUAAAUUUAUUAAUAAAUCAGCAUCACACAUACCGUUCUGCAAACUGCAAGCAUUCUCUACGUAGAAUUGUUCACAAAACUGAGAAGCAUUAUGAGAAUUGUUCAUUUGAUUAACAAUAAUUGGACACCUGAGGAUAAUUGGCAGUCUGUAAAAAAAACCCCGCCCUGCAUCUGGAACACGAUCACCGACAUUGUGCAUUAUAUUUGUGAAUCGAAUGAGAGUACCAAACAUUCUUUAUAGCGUGUAGCCAUAGAUCACGUACUGAACGGAAUAAUUAGGAUAUUAUUGUUUUGUAGAACCUCUAUCAUACCUAUGUGCUAUUAAUGUCAUUAUAAAACAUUUGUUGUAAAGAAAC
rnacentral:misc_RNA from 1 species